ACGCACGCUGGCGGCAUGCCUCACGCAUGCCAGUCGCACGAGACCUUCGGGUCUAGUGGCGCACGGGUGCGUAACGCGUGGGAACCUGCCCUUAGGUUCGGAAUAACUCCCCGAAAGGGGUGCUAAUACCGGAUAAUGUCUUCGGACCAAAGAUUUAUCGCCUUUGGAUGGGCCCGCGUUGGAUUAGCUAGUUGGUAGGGUAAAAGCCUACCAAGGCGACGAUCCAUAGCUGGUCUGAGAGGAUGAUCAGCCACACUGGGACUGAGACACGGCCCAGACUCCUACGGGAGGCAGCAGUGGGGAAUAUUGGACAAUGGGCGAAAGCCUGAUCCAGCAAUGCCGCGUGAGUGAUGAAGGCCUUAGGGUUGUAAAGCUCUUUUACCCGGGAUGAUAAUGACAGUACCGGGAGAAUAAGCUCCGGCUAACUCCGUG
rnacentral:rRNA from 1 species